ACAAUGUAUAAAUUUAACAGUUUGAUUCUGUGGCCGCCAUUGUCAUCAUAAAGAAGCAGGUGUUCAUAAAUCAGUUGAGCGAUGGUAAAAAAUGAAUAGUGAAACGGUGUCAGUGUACGAGCCCGUAGGCCCCACUCACAAUCAGAAUGGCGAUGAUGGCGCCCUGUAUGAGGCCCACGAGGACGUCGCUCCAGUGGUGCAUGUAGUCGGAGAUGCGGGACAGGCCCA